UCCCUGGUGGACUAGUGGCUAGCAUGUGGUGCUCUCAUCACACAGCCUGGGUUCAAUUCCUGGUCAAGGAA